rnacentral:sRNA from 1 species
AAGAAAUACUCUUAAUCUCUAAUAAAUCCAAAAGUCAAUAAAUUCCUACUUUGAGUAAGACAAAAACCUUCGAUCAAGGUUCGAAUUGAGCACAGCGAAAUAACAAUAUGUGAAGUAAGAUAACAAUGUGCGAAACGCGUUGAUCCGUAGGAAGGGGAAAGAAGUGACGAAUUAUCCUUCCCCCACACCA